ACCAAAGCAUCACACAAGCAGUCAGUAUGACUUCACAAACCAUUAUUCAGCACUUUAACAAACUCAAAUGGAAAUCACUGCUAAAGCAGAACUAAUCUUCAGCAGAACCCAAACAAAAGUUUAGAACUCAAAAGCAAAUGAAAUGAACCUUUCAUUGCCCUGUCUUUAACAGUCCCUUCACACCACAUCUAAUUUGAGUUCAUUCAAAUCAAAGGGCUAGAACCCAUAGUCUAUCUAAAAUCAUGAGCCAAACUUAAAACUAAACAGAAAGGAUCGAAUAUAACAAGAAGACUAAGCUACUUAUAAAAGUCUGAUUUGAUUUUCAGUAAAUGUAAGCCAUUACAUUCACACAGCUUGUAACUCAAUCACAUAAAUUCUUGUUCUUCCAUCUCACAUGUCAAAGAGAGGGGAGAUACCUGGAAAUUGAAAGAUAAAACAAAGAGCGAAGAAUCAGCCAGAGGCAACAGAGAAUAGCCCAGAUUUAGCAACACAUUAAUAUUCCAAAACCAGCUUGAAACCAGCUAUUAAAUCCCAGAGUUCAAAAUCAUUUUUCUACUCAAAUGCAAGAAUUUGUAGUUUUCAGGAAUUCUAACUAGUAGGGAAAAUCAGAAAAUCAAGAAAUCAAGCUAACUUUCAGCAUUUUUAGACCCAAGAAAUGCAGGAAUUCAGUACUCUUUUCAAGGAUCAACCGUUCAGUUUUUCAGGAUUUUCUCUAUUCCUCCCCCUUGAAAUGCAAGAAUGAGCUCCCUUUAAAGGCAAGGCAAUAGACACCUUAAGGGCUUAGUUUUUGCCCCUCAAUCCUUUUUAAAUUUUCGUUUUUGCUACUUGGUCCCUAAAUUAUUGCCUUGCUUGCCAAGUAAGGUUCUUUUUUAGCUUCUAGGAAGCUUCCUAGGCAGUUAUUUGAGAGAUUCCCUCAACCAAUUACCUAAACUACCCCCCCAAAUGCCCCUUAAUCACACUCAGUAACUCACAGGUCAAGCUGACCUUAAAGCCUGAUUUGAUACGGGUUAAAAACCCAGGUUCAAUUCCUUCUUGGGCUUCUGAUUCCUCAGAGUCCAAUUAAAAUCAAACGAUGAUUUCAAUUUUGAAAAACUAAUCCAAACUUUCUCUAAACAAAGAAACCUAGAACCAUUUGUUUAAAAGCAGUCGAAACCAAAAGCAAAAUGAAUGAACUAACCAAUCUAAUUUCAUAACAGCAAUUUAACUAAAUCAUGAGCCUAAUUUCAUUAAUUAGGUGAUUAAAAUGAUGAUGAAAGACUUAGACGAACAAAACAAGGUGGACUAAAGACAUCAGAUAAUCAAGCUUUCACAACGAAAGAAAAGAAGAGGAAAAGAGAACAGGAGAUGGAACCAAUUUGAACUCAGAAAACCCAAACAAACUUCGCCCAAACCAAAAGAGAAAGGAUGAGGAGGAAGAUGAAACAGUGAAAGAAAAUAUAAGAGGGGAGGAGGAACUUACCAAAUCACGGCUCGAAACCUAAUUAAAACACUAGCUUAAAUGAAGUGUGAUGUUACUCAGUUGUUCUUUGUAAGAACAAAUAAACGACAUCACAGUCAUGUUCAAACAACCUUCAAUCUUCAGAAGAGCAGGAGCAGGUAGCCAUGCAAACCAUGGAAUCAAGGAUUAACACACUUUGACCUCUUGGGACUUCGAACCCUAUCCCUAGAUUCAAAAUUCGACGGAUUCGGGAAGGAUUUGAGGGGUAUGGGUUAGGGUUUGGAGAGAGGAGGUCAUGGGGGUUUCAGGGUGUUAGUUUGGUGCUAUUUGGUGGUGUGCCGCCACCUUGAAGCGGUGGAGAAAAGGGGCGGCAGGCUAGGGUUUGGGGAGAUGAGUCUCUGAAGGGAGAGGAGUGAAAAAGACGAGAUGGGGGGUGGGGCUUUCAGACAUUGAUAUAUCAUUAGAUCCCAGCUUUAGGACCGUCCGAUCAAGAAACCUUGACGGUCCUGAUCUGUUGCCCAUGAAAAGGUGUCGUUUUGAUUAAAAAGGGAAAACCGGACCGGGUCAGGGUCGGAAUGGGCUGGUUUGGGACGGGUUAAAGGAAGUGGGAUUGGGCUUUGGAAAUUUUCAGUGACCUCGCCCAAAAUGUGAAAUCCCUUUCAUUGUUAUUCAAACCCAACUUAAUUCAAAAUCGUUUUUUUUUCUCUAUUUUUUCGAAAUUUAAUUAAAAUCAGAAUUAAUUUCUAGAACUAAACAAAAUUAAUUAAACCUAAAAUGAUAAUUGACACAAUUAAUUAAAAAUAAAUUAACAAAAGAAAGCUACUCAACAUCAAAGCUAAAAUUAAAAGUGCAGAUUAAACUAAUUUUUGUGAUAUUUCCAUUUUAUGCGAUAAUUAAUUUUCUAAUUAAUCCUAAAAUGUAGAACCAACCCUAAAUGCAAAUGCGACAUAUUUUUGUAUUUUUCACUAAUUAAAAUGCGCAAACAAAAAAUGCAAACAAUUAACAGAAAAUGCCACGAAAAUCCCCAAAAUUGCAAACAUUGAAAGAAAUUAUUUUGUUUUGAAUUUAUGGGAGUAAUUCAUGUAGGGCAAAAAUUACGUGCUCACACUUAGGAUCUUAGAGACUCAGUAAAUAGUUAGGACAUGGAUAAUAGUUGGCAUGUCUUGAACAAGAUUAAACAUAUUGUUUAGACAUGCUACGUGAAGAGGUAAGCAAGAAAGAGUGCAUACAUUGAACAUGAUAGAAUCUUAGACAUGAUAGGCAAAGAAGUAAGCAAGAAAAAGUGCAAAAUUAAAGAAUCCAUUGAACAUGCAGAUUUUAGACAUGCUGAGCAAAGAAGUAGGCAAGAAUGCAAGUUGAACUCAUAACUGAUGAACUAGUGCAGGGAUGAAAAACACAUAGGGUUUGGAUUCCAAAACUUAAACAGAGACAUACCAGUUGAAGAAAAGGUGCAGAAUACAAAGCAAAUGAAGUUCCAAUAUCUAGCCUUGGCUUUCAGCCGGCUAGAUCAGCAAGUAUCACAAAUAGCAGAAGAGAAAGAGAACUUUUAAAGUGUAAGGAGUAGUGAUUUUUGAACUGAUGUGUUAUGUCUAGAACUUAAAGUAAAAGGGGGUUUAUAUAGUAAUCAAAAACUUGGCAAAUAAUGUAAGAGAUCAAUUAAGUAGUAAAUCUGGGAAGUCAUACGUAAAUUAGCAAGUCUUUCCCUUAAUUAAGGGACAGUUAAAUCAAUGGUAAGAGCACGCUAAGUAUUUAAGGAAAAGAAUCAAGUAAGGUUUGGUAUAGAGUAGGUAAUUAGGGGUAAAUGAACAACAGUUAAAUUAAGGAAACAAAUCAGUAAUAAUCAGCAGAAUACAAAAUAAGGCAAGGAAAAAAUAAUUAAGGCAAGCAAUUCAGUUAAAUCGAAUAGAGAGGUAAGAAUCAAAAGUUUAAGGGAAAAUAUUCAAAUUAAACCAGGAAAUAAGGGAUUCAGAGUAAUCAAGGGUUCAGAAAGUCAUGAAAGAGUCAGCAUGUUCAGCAUAUAAAAUAAGGUAGAACAUGAAUAGUCAGGAUUUCACUUAGCUUUAACAAAACACAUAGUUAAACGACAUUGAUUCACUGAGAAAGAAUCAAGCAUACAGAAUCAGUGAAAGUGUUGAACUAAGAAUUCAGUAGAAGCAUAUUGGGACAAGAAAAGAUCACAAGAACCCAUAGCAAGAACACAAUCAAAUGUACCAAUACCCAGAAUCCAAACGAAGAACCCCAAAAAAUUAGGGUUUUCAGUUCAAACGGGUUAAGGUUGUAGAGGACUCAUAAAAUUAGUCAAAAUAUAUGAGAAGCAGAAGAUUAAACAUAAAAGAUCACCAAAUAGUUUUUAAAAAGAAAUUUCGGAAACCCUAGUUUUAGGAAAAGAUGAAAAUCACUUGAAAUCAUACGAUUCUUGUAAAGAAUCUUAAGGUUGUUGUAAAACACACAUGAAACAAACCCAAAUCAUCUUAGAUUUGUACAGAUCUAAGAGGUUUAGAAAAGAAAUUAGGGUUUCGAAGAGAACCAUAUAGAGAUGAAGAAACACACUGAGAAACCCAUAGAUCGUAACUAAUAUAGGACGAUCUUACUCGGAAUCUAGCUAAAGUGUCCUGAAACAGGCGAGAGAAGACCAAUAGAUGCAAGCCACUAGCCUUGGUCCCUUGAGGGCCCUGGAUAUGGCAAGAACAACAUGAGAGAGGCCAUUAGAGGCCUGAGAGGUGGUGAGAGGUCAUCGGAGAUGGCCAUAGACGAGUGACAACAUUUGGAGAUUAGGGUUAGGUUGAGAGCGUUUGAGAGCAGAGGGGAUUUCAGGGUGGCGGGUGCAUAGAAAAUGAUAGGGUUUGGGGGGUCUUUUGGGUUUAAUUUAGGAAGGGUUGAUGGUGGCCGUUGAUCUUUAUGAUCAACGACCGGGUUUAAAGGGUGUGGGGGACCGGUAUUAGGGGUGUGGGCUGGGUAAUUUAAUUGAGUACUGGGCUGGUAAUUGGGUUAGGUUGGGGUUGGAUUGGGGCUAAAAUUGAAAUAAAAUUAGGCCAUAUUUUAAAUAGCCAUUUUAAUACUAUAUAGUUUAUAAGAAAUAAUAUGAUUUCUGAAAAAUAAUUUCGUAUACUAAAAUAGUUAUUUAACAUUUUAAAAAUAUAAAAGAUCAUUUUAUGCAUCAACAAUGUAAUUAUGCAUUAAUAGGGGUAGUAUUAUAAAUAUAUGCAAAUUAGCUUAAAAAUGUAAAUGAAAUUAUAAAAAUGCACUAAAAUAUUUAAAUAUUAUUUUGGCAUAAAUAUAGAAUUUAGAUGACUAAACUACCUCAAAAAUAAUUUGAAGGAUAAUUAUUGGAAAUUUUAUAAGUAAAAAGGAAAGAAAUAAAUCAAUUUGAAGCCUUUAAAAUUAUAGAAAAAUUAUAAAAAUGCUUAUGCAUGCUUAUAUAUGCAUAUAUGCUAGUUUGAAGGUGUAUUAAAUAUAUAUAUAUUAUAUAUAUAUAUAUAUACACCUCUUUAUAACAACCGCCUGAGAACUAUUAACAACCGUCCCUCUUUAUCCGAGAAGGAUGAAAGAGUUUUCGGGUAAAGAAAUGAUUGCCAAUUUUGAUCGGAUGGGAUGUUUUGAAAGACAGAGGCCGGACUUCGGUCUUCGAGUUGCCUAAAUAUCCCUGGAUUUUACAGAAAUCAGGCCAUAUGUAGUUCUGGAUUCAUUGGUGGAAUAUACCAAUGAAGUCAUUGCAAGAACGGACAUGAGAUGCGGAAGCGGCUAUGGUGAGCGGUUACAGUUUGAGACAGUUGAAGGAACUGGAGUGGGGCCCGCUCCUACUAGGAUAGCGGUUGCUUGUUGGUCACCUGCAGAUGAAAAGAUGCUAAGACAUGUGUUUGCGUGAAAAUAUUUAAACAUGAUGCAGAUUCCCGUUGGACCAUGAAGGUUGUCUUUGGAUGGUUAAAGAUGACGUCCUUGGACCAUGACGUCCUGGGCCAUGAAUUGUUUAGUGAGGGAUUUGCAGGUCAUGAAAUUAUGUUCUCGGGCCAUGAAAAAUGGUGCCUCCGAACCAUGACGCCUUUGAAUAAUCAUAUGCAAAUUUGAGGGAUCCUCAGGCCAUGGCAUGAUAUCUUCCGGCUAUGAGGAUGAUGCCUUUAAGACUAUGACGCUUUUGGAUAGAUUGACGAUAUUUUAGCUCAUGAUAUGCAAUAGCAUGAUGUUAACAAGACAAGGCUUAGUCUUGUAAAAUGGAGGGCAGAGCUUAGCCCGAUUGAAAAACGAAUAGAUAGUACUAGAAAUAGAGCAAUAUUUGUGCAAAGAGGGACAGUGCUUAGUCCCAUACAGAUGGAGAGGAAAGUAUUAGCCUCAUGCAGAUGUGGAGGAAGGGAUUAGCCUCAUGCAAGGUAGGGAGAAAGGAUUAUCCUUAUGCAAAAUAUGGAGGCAGGGAUUAGCCUCAUGCAAGUACAGAUGCAAGGAUUAGCCUCAUGCAAGUACAGAGGCAAGCAUUAGCCUCAUGCAAAUAUGGAGGCAAGGAUUAGCCUCAUGCAGAUAUGGAGGCAGGGAUUAGCCUCAUAAAAAUAUGGAGGCAGGGAUUAGCUUCAUUAAAAUAUGAAUGCAAGGAUUAGCCUUAUGCAGAUAUGGAGGUAGAGAUUAGCCUCAUGCAAAUGUGGAGGUAGGCAUGCAAAUAUGGAGGCAAGGAUUAGCCUUAUGCAAAUAGGAAGGCAAGGAUUAGUCUCAUGCAGAUAUAAAGGCAGAGAUUAGCCUCAUGCAGAUAUGUAGGCAAGGAUUAUCCUCAUACAGGUGUGGAGGUAGGUAUUAGCCUCAUGCAAGUACGGAGGCAAGGAUUAAGCUCAUGUAAAUAUGGAGGCAAGGAUUAGCCUCGUGCAAAUAUGGAGGCAAGGAUUAGCCUCAUGCAAAUAUUGAGGCAAGGAUUAGCAUCAUACAAAUAUAGAGGCAAGGAUUAGCCUCAUGCAAAUAUGGAGUCAAGGAUUAGCCUCAUGCAGAGAGCAAAUAGCAAAUAAGAGUAGUAUAUGUCUAAGCUGGAGAUAUAUUCAGUGUCUGGUGGCCUGAUUGAUAGUAAUCUUGCUACGUGUAUAUAUUUGCGGAUGUUAUUGUUACGUCGGAUGUGCCUGCAUUUAAAGAAAAAUUGUAAGUUGUGUGAGGGGAGCUUGCUUUGCUCCAUUUUGAAAGUCUUUUCGAGUUCCCCUGGAUAACACUUGACUAUUAUGGAAAUAAAGUUUUUGAAAAUAUGCAAUUAUUGAUAAAAAUAGAGUCAUUUUAGAAACGUAUUGAUAUAUCAAGUGAUUUUAGAUGAACUAGUGACUGUAACACAUCUCAAACGCAUUGCAACUCUCUUAUGUCGGAAUUUUUAGGGUCCUCCUCAAAAUUCUACCGCAGUUUCUUAACCAGUUUCUGACUUUCUGGCAUGUGAUGUCGUCGGCUGGACUUGCUCCGGAAUUUUGAGGGUCCUCCUCAAAAUUCUGCCCCAAUUUCUGAUCUUGGGGAAAUGGAAAUUUUAUUAUGCUAUGACUGAACCCAUAAGGCUGCCUACGUAUCCCCUCUUAAAUGGGAAAUAGGUCAAGCGUAGUUCAAUUAUAUCAGACGAGGAAAUGUAAAUAAUCUAAGCAUAGUAUCUCUUGACUGCGUCUAAGCUGAUUGGUUUUGGCCAGAUUUCUCCGUCUAUUUCUGCAAGUAUGAGUGCUCCUCCUGUCAGCACCCUGUGAACCAUAUACGUACCUUGCCAGUUAGGAGAGAAUUUUCCUUUGGCUUCAUCUUGAUGUGGGAAGAUCUUCUUCAGCACCAAUUGCCCUGGUGCAAAUUGCCUUGGUUUGACCCUUUUGUUGAAAGCUCUAGACAUUUUGUUCUUAUAAAGUUGGUCGUGACAUACUACGUUCAUCCUCUUUCCAUCGAUAAGGGCCAAUUAUUUAUAACGACUCCUUAUCUACACUGCAUCGCUGGGUUCAGCUUCCUGUAUGAUUUUUAAAGAAGGAAUCUGCAUCUCGGUUGGAAUGACAGCCUCGGUACCAUAAACAAAUAUGUAGGGUAUUGCCCCAGUCGAUGUGCGAACCAUAGUGCGGUAUCCCAAUAAAGCAAAAGGUAGCUUCUCAUGCCAUUGUUUGUGGUUCUCUACCAUCUUUCUUAGUAUCUUCUUGAUGUUUUUAUUGGUGGCUUCUAUGGCUCUGUUCAUCUGAGGUCAGUAGGAUGUGGAAUUCUUGUGCUUGAUUUUGAAAGUUUCACACAUGGCUUUCAUCAGAUCAUUAUUGAGAUUGGCGGCAUUAUCAGUAACAAUGGACUCGGGAACUCUGAAUCGACAAACAAUGCAAUCUUUGACAAAAUCUGCGAUGACUUUCUUGGUUACAUCUUUGUAAGAUGUAGUCUCUAUCCAUUUUGUGAAAAUCAAUGGCUACCAGAAUAAACCUGUAUCCAUUUGAAGCAGUGGGCUCAAUCGGACCAAUUACAUCCAUUGUCCAAGCGACGAAUGGCCAAGGUGAGCUUGUUGUAUUGAGCUCUUUUGGCGGCACUUUUAUCAUAUCGGCAUGCACCUGGCAUUGAAAGCAUUUGCGGACAUGCUGGAUACAAUCCGUCUCUAUGGUCAUCCAAAAGUAACUGGCCCUGAGUAUCUUCUUAGCCAAGAUGAAACCAUUCAUGUACGGGCCACCGGUUCCGGCAUGCACAUCCUCAAGCAGUUUAGAAGCUUCUCUUGCGUCGACACAUCUUAGCAAUCCCAAAUCGGGAGUUCUUCUAUACAUAUUUCCUGCACUAUAGAAGAAAUGAUUGGAAAAUCUCCAGAGUGUGUGUUUCUGAGUGUGGUUUGCAUGCUCCGGAUAUUCUCCCUUUGACAAAUACUCUUUGAUGUAUAAAACCAAGGCUUUCCAUCUGUUUCUUCUUCAACAUGAGCACAAUAUGUCGGUUGAUUAUGGAUCCUUACCGGAAUGGGAUCAAUAUAAUUUUUAUGUAGAUGCUGUGUCAUAGAUGACAAGGUGGCCAAUGUAUCGGCAAACCCAUUCUGAAUUCUGGGCACAUGUCGGAAUUCUAUUUUUGUGAACCUCUUUCUCAAUUCCUGCACAUGGUGCAGAUAUGACAAUAUCUUGGAAUUCUUGGUACCCCACUCUCCUUAUACCUGGUGCACAAGCAAAUCUGAAUCACCGAUUACUAGCAGCUCUUGAAUGUUCAUGUCGAUUGCCAUGUUGAGCCCUAGUAUGCAGGAUUCAUAUUUUGCCAUGUUGUUAGUGCAGGGAAAUCUGAGUUUAGCAAAUACUAGAUAAUGUUGACCCGUUUCUGAUACCAAAACUGCUCCAAUACCCACUUCUUUGAAAUUUGUAGCUCUGUCAAAGAACAUCCUCCAACCAUCGUAUGCUUCGAUAAUGUCUUACCCUACGAACGACACUUCUUCAUCAGGAAAUAUAUUUUCAAAGGUUUGCAUGCUCCUCCCACUGGAUUUUUAGCAAGGUGAUUUGCCAAUGCUUGUCCUUUGACCGCCUUUUGAGUUAUGUAGACGAUAUCGAACUCGCUUAACAAUAUCUUCCAUUUGGCCAACUUUCCAGUUGGCAUGGGUUUCUGGAAUAUGUACUUUAGAGGGUCCAUCCUGGAUAUGAGGUAAGUAGCGUGGCAUGGAAGUAUUGCCUCAAUUACUGAGUUGUCCAGGUCAAAGCACAGCAAGUGCGUUCUAGCAGAGAGUACCGUGCUUUGUAAGGUGUGAACUUCUUACUCAUAUAGUAUAUGGCCUUCUCCAUUCUUCAUGUCUUGUCAUGUUGUCCCAAAACACAUCCGAAGUCUCCAUCCAAUACAGAUAGAUAGAGUAGCAAAGGUCAUCUUGGUUCUGGUGGGACCAGAACUGGUGGUGUGGACAGGUACUCCUUGAUCUUUUCAAAAGCUUUCUGACAAUCCUCUGUCUAGCUUGUUUCGACAUCUUUCCUUAGCAUCUUGAAGAUGGGUUUACAUAUGAGUGUGGACUGUGCUAUGAAUCGACUGAUAUAGUUGAGACAUCCUAGGAAGCUGAUCACGCCCUUUUUGCUCUUAGGUGGUGGUAACUCCUAAAUAGCCUUGACUUUAGAUGAAUCUAGCUCGAUCCCUCGACAACUGACGAUGAAUCCCAAUAAUUUUCCUGCGGAAACCCCGAAUGCACACUUUGCGGGGUUUAGUUUCAAGUUGUACCUCCUUAGCCUAUCAAAGAACUUUCUCAAAUUCGCUAUGUGAUCUAGGGCCCUCUUGGAUUUGAUAAUGACAUCGUCCACAUACACCUCUAUCUCCUUGUGUAUCAUAUCAUGGAAGAUGGUUGUCAUGGCUCUCAUGUAAGUUGCCCCAACAUUCUUCAGACCGAAUGGAAUCAUCUUAUAAUAGUAUACACCCCAAGGUGUAAUAAAAGCUAUCUUCUCUGCAUUUUCUUCGUCCAUCCAGAUCUGGUAAUAAUUCAUGAAGUAAUCUACAAAAGAUUGGAGUUUAUGCUUGGCACAAUUAUCGAUCAGGAUGUGUAUAUUUGGCAGUGGGAAGUCAUCCUUGGGACUUGCUCUGUUUAAAUCCCGAUAGUCAACAAAUACUCUGACUUUUCCAUCCUUCUUUGGAACUGGCACAAUGUUAGCUAACCAGGUUGGGUACUCAACCACCCUGAGAACUUUGGCUUUGAUCUACUUGGUAACUUCCUCCUUGAUUUUCAGGCUCAUGUAUGGUUUGAACUUUUGGAGUUUCUGCUUCACUGGAGGACACAUGGGAUUAUUGGGCAACUUGUGAGCCAUUAUGGACGUGCUCAAACCGAUCAUCUCAUCAUACAACCAUGCAAAAAUGUCCUCAUAUUCCUUUAGAAAACAGACAUAUUCUUCCUUCUCUGUUGGUGACAAGUAAAUGCUGAUGUGAGUUUCCUUGACAGUCUCGGCGUCCCCUAAAUUUACUGCUUCGGUUUCAUCUAUAUUGGACUUGGGCUUAUUUCAAAGUUUUCAACUUCCUUGACAACUUCCUCGGGUAUCUCAUCUUCUUCAUCGAAAUCACUAUCCUCAUGUUGCGUUGCCUCAUUACAUGUCACAGUUACUGGUUCAUCAGGACAAGUUUUAAUAACGUUAUAGAAAGAAAAAGUGUAGAAAUGCAUUUGGUUAAAACCAAAAAAUCAUCCAGACAAGUACGGCUCGACGAAUCGAGCAUUUAUUUUGAAACAAGUAAACCUUAAAACAAAAUUACUGGAAAUCUUAAAUGCCUAGAAUGUCUAUAGAAUUAAAAUCUGCCAAGCUACCCAGGGACUCGGCGGGCUCGGGAUGGUGUGGCGGUCCAGUUCCUGAGAACAUCUCCCUUCUUUAUGGUCUAAAUAAUGAGGCCUUCUUCUUCUUCCUCCUCAAUUAUGGCACUGGAGUCCAUGUCUUCAUCCUCCAAGAAUAAAUUCUUCAACCCAGCGAGUGCUUCCUCUUCUGCAGUCCCCUAUAUCGUAUCAGCUUGGUAAAAAUCUUGUUCUAAGCGUGGUACUGGUUGCUCAAGAGGGUAAUACGAUCUGCUCCAUGGAGGCGACCAAUCAUUGUAUUCUUUCCAUGUGUACUGAUAUCCGAGCCCAAAGGUGGUACCAUGGCUUUUUAGCCGUAUUGGUUUAGUGAUGCCCUGGAGAUUUUUUCCCAGCCCUUUGCCGGGAUCAUAUCCAGACCAUGCCAAUAUGCUUUCUAUUUUACUGCUCCACCACUUAUCUUUCUCGACGACAUUGACCCAUUCAAUGUGAUGAUAGGUUUCCCCUCCUAGCCUUCUUUUAUGUCCAAUAGCUAGGAUGGUUUGACUAGUGUAAAUGGGGUUACUCCCAUCUCCAUGAAUGAUCACCUCCUGACGAUUCCAUUCGAACGUCACGACUUGAUGUAGUGUGGAAGGCGCAGCUCUAGCGGCAUGGAUCCAUGGUCGGCCCAACAAAAGAUUAUAUGAGGCUGGUAUGUUAAACACCUGAAACUCUACGUCGAACCAAGUUGGCCCCAUCUUCAAGCAAAGGUUGAUUUCUCCGAUUGUGGCCCUUUGGGACCCAUCGAAAGCCUUCACGUUCAUUCUUCCUACCCAUAUUUCAUGAAAACCUUUGUCCAACCUUUUCAGAGUGUCUAACGGACAAAUAUUGAGGCUUGAACCUCCGUCAACCAAGACCCUGACAAUGAAUUUGUCUUCAAAUUGCAUUGUAAUAUGCAAUGCUCGAUUAUGAUUCAACCCCUUAGGUGGCAGCUCAUCUUCAUGGAAGAUGAUCUUAUGACUUUCCAGUACUUGUUCUACCAUAUUGGCCAUUUCUUCGCCAGUGAUGUUAUUGGGUACAUAAGCCUUGAUCAACACCUUUAUUAAAGCGUUCUUAUGUGCCUCUAAGUUUUGCAAUAGUGAUAGGAUAGAUAUCUGAGCAUGAGUUUUGUUCAAAAUCAGAAUGCUCAUUUGCUUGUACUUUCCUCCAUAGGUCAUCUGGCCCUGUCUCAAUGACAGGCUGCCUGGUAGUGGCAUCCUUACUUGGUCCUCCCAAAUGUUCAGGUGUAUAGACUCUUCCAGUCUUAGUCAUUCCUUGUGCAGCAUCAGAUUCUUCCAUUUUUGCCUUUCCCUUUUGCCGAGCUUCGGCAACGUAAUCCCAAGGUAUUGUUUUUGAGUCGAAAGGAGGUGUGGUUGACACUGUCACUGUGAAAGGUGUGACCACUUCUACUUCAAAUAGAGCGGGGGUAGCCACAGGUGGAACUACCUCUACCUCAAAUGAAACCUGUGCGGUUAUCUCAACCUCGAUUGGUGACUGAGUCUGUACCACAAUAGGAGUAACUGUGACUACAACUUUAAAGUCAUCGCCUUCUCGAAUAAGCCCAAUCGACCCCUCAAGGUCCCCUUCUUCAUUCGUCUCUAUCAUAUGCACCCCACCACCUUUAUGAUCAGGGAGGGGGUUGUUGCGGACAUUGGGUGCAACUUCCUUCCCCUGUAUGACCUAGUUGUCAAUUAGCAUCUGGAUCUUAUCCUUCAAUGUUCGGAACUCAUCAGUGGUGUGCCCCUUCAUACCAAAAUGGUACGCACAAGUUUUGUUUGGAUUGACCCAUUGGGAUGGAUUUUCUAAUGCCACAGCAGGAAUGGGGGUGAUAUAACCAGCGACUUUCAACCUUUUAUACAACUGGUCGAUGUGCUCAACAAUGGCGGUGAAUUAUCUAGGUGGCUUGCGGUCGAAAUUGGGUCUAGGUUUUGGAUAAUUUUGAUGAGUUGGUGGUGAUUGGAAGUGGGAUGAUUGAGAGUUAUAGGUGUGAUGGACAACGACUGGUUGGGAAUAUCUGGGAUAUUAUGGUUGAUAUAUAGGCGGUGGUGCUUGGUAUGUGGGUUGAGGUGUUUGAUAUAUGGGCGGAGGUGUUUGAUAUGUAGGCGGAGGUGUUUGAUAUGUAAGUAGAGAUUUCGGGCCCUGAUCCACCAUUACUGCCCCAACAUCUCUCUUCUUUGAUAUGCCGCCUGAUUGUAAUGCCUUAUUUGUGGUCUAUAGUGCCUUAAAAUUCUUUACCAUCCUGCUCUUGAUUCCUUCUUCAAAUUUUUCUCCAAGUUUGAUGAUAUCAGAGAAUUUAUGAUUUUCGAUAACCAUCAAUCUUUCAUAAUAUUGUGGAUCUUGUGCUCUGGCGAAGAACUUGUUCAUCUGUUCCUCGUCCAAAGAUGGCCUGACCUUGGCUGCUUCCAACCUCCAACGAGUAGCAUACUUGUGGAAAGUCUCGGUAGGUUUCUUCUUAUGAUUCUGAAUGUAGAAAAUAUCAGGUGCAUUCUUUGUAUUGAACCUGAACCAGUCCAUGAAAUUCGACGCCAUACUCACCCAAUUGGGCCAUUUCUUGGGAUCUUGGACGAUGUACUAGUACAAAGCAUCCCCAGUAGGACUCCUCAUAAAGAGUUUCAUUCGGAUCUUUUCAUCUUUCCCGACCCCAAAAUGUUUGUCGCAAUAGGUCCUCAGAUGGACCCUAGGAUCACCUAUUCCAUCAAACAUCUCAAACUUGGGAGGUUUGUAUCCCUCUGGUAGUUCUACGUCUGGCUGUAUGCAUAGGUCUUCAUAGUUCAACCCUUCUAUUCCUUUGUCGCCUUCGAUACCUUGAACUCGGCUUGUCAACUUCUUGAGUUCUUCAGCCAUAUUUUUAAUGAGCAGAUCCUUCUCGGAGGAUUCCGGUGUAUAGGAGAUUGGUGGGAUAGAGUGAUGUACAGUUUCUACGUAUACAAGGUUGCUUUGAUGGGUGCCAGGGACUUGGGUGUAAUGAUGGUCAUUAGUUGAGUUUUGGGGAUCGGGAAUGGGUUGUGGUGUGUUUUGGGGAGUGUGGUAAGUGGUGGUUGGUGGGUACUAAAUUGGCUUAUGGUGAUGUUGUGGCAGAGUUGGUACUGGUAAGGGAUUGAGAUUUUGGGGUGGUGUUACGUAUUUAUUCGAUGUAGGAGGAUUUUGUGGGUGUUGGUUUUGUGUGUUAUGGGGAGGUUUCGGGUUCUUUGUUUUUUUGUUGAUGGAUGUUAAGGACAUUUAGGGUGAGUGACAAGUUUGCCAAGUUGCGAACCUGCUUAAGUUCUCCUUACAGUUCUAGUAUCUUCUGUUCCAGUCUCAAGACUAGAUCAUUUGGGGCCGGAGUACUAUGGUCAUCUAAAGUUUCUGCAUUCUUAAUAUUCUCCUUUCGGAUACCACUUAAGUCAUCCAUUUUUGUUUUUCCUCUGCCUUUUGUAUUACUUGGAGGAAGAGGAGGGCCUCUAUAUCUGGUGUGAUAUGCUCAUGAGGCCAGUAUGAGUGAACCAACCUAAAAGGAUGGGAAUAAUCAAAAUAAGGAGAAAAAAGGUAACAAGUCAGUGAGGAUUCUGAAGUGUUUGCAGUAUUUAAACACAUAUUGUGGAAACGUAAAUUUGUGUCCUAAUUUGGGAACCUCGUUGUGCCCGAGGUAGGCCUAGCGACCAAUAUAUUUGGAAAACUUUAGAUUCCAGUAAAUACUUCAUUUCAUAAUAUAAAAUAGACGAAUCCCAAAAUGACACUAAGAUAAUAGAGAAAUAAGUCACUACUGGUACUUGGCCUUAUUACAUUUCAAGAAAGCAAACAAAUCUAGCCUAUUUGGUCCCAAAAGGACCUUCCCCAUAUACGAUCUUCCUAACUCCAUCAUACAGGUCCCCCAGCUCGCGCAGACCCAGCAGCAAGUAGGCUCUGGCCAAAUGUCCUCCUUCAGUUCCUUUAGUGUUGUGGCAAUCCUCGAUCCUCUUUAUAACUUUUCCUUCCAGCUCCACUAUUCCUCGCUCCAGAUAUUCCAACUUCUUGUUGGAAGUGACUGUCAUUUCUUUCCAUUCUUUGAUCAACCUCACAUUCCUCUCAUGUAUUUCCCAAUGCUCAUUCUCAGAGUCAUGGACCCUCUUGCGCAGCCUGUUGUACUUGACUUGAGCUUCAAUUUCUUCGUCUAUGAUCCUAUUUCCUCGACCAUCUCCUGGCAUCACCAUUCCUUUUAGAUUGUCCUCUAACCAUGCUGGGUAGAGAGGCUCACACCCCACAUGAUACCUGUCUGGCUCAAUGGUGUUCUUUUCCAAAAUGAUUUUGCAGUGCCACAUGUGCUGAGCUUGGCACUUUUAAAGGACGUCGUCGUCUUGAAAGUCUGCCCUAAAAUGACUCAUCUUGGCAACCCUUGGUACAACUUGUUUCCUGCCUGCUUGCCUCAUAACUCGGAUAGGGUCAUAAGGGUAUAUCCCUCUCAACCCAAUUAGCACCAGGUGUGGAGCGUCCCUGGAUCUGAUGAUGAAUUCGUCCAUUGGGAACCAUUCAAACAUCCAUUGCACAUGUUCCUCGGUCAGAUUGUCGAAGAACUCUACCUAUUCUUUGGCACUUUUCGACUGAGCAAACCUGUUUGAAUGUAAGUCAUCCGCUUGGGGUGAUGGAAGACAAUAUGGUCGUUCCAAACCCUUUUCGAAAAUUCUUGGCGAUAGUGACCCUUUUGAAAAUGUUCUAACAACCACAAAUGCAGCAACAAGUUACAACCCUCGAAAUGCUUAAGCCCUCUUUGACAGUGCUCUAGAGCCUUGUAGAUGUCGGCUAUGAUCAUGGGGACUAUAGUGUAUAUCUGUCCAUUGAUCCCUUCCAUCAAAGUAUUGGCGACCAUGGCCAACCUAGUGUGGAUUCUUUCCCUUUUUAUUGGGAAUACUAUCAAAGCCCAAGAAGCAUACAAUGAACACGAAAACCCUGCGAUGGAUGUGUCCUAGAGAAGUGAGAGAGAUCUCAUCAUGGUAGGUACGGUAGGACUUGCUAUGGCCAUACCUUUCAUACAGAUAUUAGAAGGGUAUGUAAGAUUCCUUCAGGCAUACCAGGUCAGCAUUUUUCUUCAACCUCAUUAUCUUUAUGAACCCUUUACUGGUACGGUUCUCCGGCACUAAUAACCCGGGACUAUCCCAAGUUAAUCCCGCAAGCCCUCUAAUUUCUUCUAGAAGUGUUGUUAUUUCUAUGUAACCGAAACGGAACACAUACCUCUCACUGUCCCAGAACAAAGUGGCAGCCUUGAUCAACUUGUUGUUUGGCUCAAUGUCUAGAAGGGAAGUCAAGUUACCCAAAUACUUUCUUACAUAUUUCUUAUCACUUGAGUAAAGGUCCUCCCACAAAUCUAGCAGCAAUGGUGGAAUGUUGCUAACAAUACCGAAUCUGGGGAUUUCGUACCUCAUUUUCUGCAAAAUAAAAGGGCCAUGACUUUCUCCCCCACCAGACUCAACUAUUUAUACAUUCAUGAUUAGUAUAUUGGCAUUUAGUUCUCUAAAUUAAUGCACCGAACAUGGUUGUGUCCGUUCGGAUUAUGGAAACCCCGGUGGACUUUUGGAUAAGACUCAUAUUAAAGGAUCAUUAUGUGGACAACAUAAUUGAUCCGACUAGGUUUUGACCAUGGUCCAUGCACAAUUUUGAUCAGAGUAAGGUUACUAUGGGGGAUUAGACUGGUACCCUCAAGCGGACAACUUGAGAGAAAAAGGCACGGAACCGUCGACUGCACCGCUGAUCGAAUGGUUUUAUCGCAAAUAAGCCUUUCCAAAUUUAAGGGUAAUAAAUAGGAAGAACGCAACCACUCAUCAAGCGUUGCUAUAGGAUUUAAUACGCAUGGGUGGAAUAUGAUGUGGAACGUGAUUUAUGCAGCAAUAAAUAGAAUGUAGUCAAGUAUUUGCACGUAGGAAAAAUAAAUACAGUAUUUAAAUAAUUAAAAGACAGUUACAGAAAAAGAAAACAAAGAGACAAGUCAGUUUCAGGAAUAAAAGAAUCAUAAAUGCUUAAAAUAGGCAGUUAAAUUCAAAUAAGGGGAAAGGAUACGGGAUAAGGCAUGGUUGGACUAAUUCACAAAAGAUAAAUUCAUUAUGGUAAGAGCCUAAGUAUAUCCCCAGCAGGGUCGACAUGCUAUCGCGCCACCUUUUUCCCCUCCGGAGAGAGAGAAGUCCAGGUUUCGACAUUCAUGAGGGGUAAUAACUCAUUUUCUUUUGGGAAUUUGGGUAUUUUUAAGAGUCGUCACCUAACUGAUUAUGGUGUGUUAGGGCACCUCGAGUAAUUAACUCUUAGACUAGUUUGCAUUACCAGAGAAUUAGGGUAAGAACUCAAAAUAACUUUAAGGGGAAGGUGUUAGGCACCCCUCUCGGUCCACAACGGUGGGUCCAGGCCGAACUUAUACUUCUGAAUUAGUCCUUUUGAACAAAUAAAUAGUUUUAACACAUAUUUGCAAAUAAAGGCAUGUUUUGUAUGAUUCAAGUAAUGAGAUAAAAAGGAAAAGACUUGAACAAAUUGCAUACAUAUAGAAAAGUAAAGUUUCAACAUCAGGAAUUGGGAAAGAGGGGUCCUAGGUUGGUUAGACUAUAGGAUCACCCCACACAAUGCCCGAUAAACACUCCUUAAUGAGGGGCUACACAUGAUAUUAGCGCAUAGUCAUCAUAUCCUUACUACCCAAUUCCCUUCCCUUGGUCAUAGCCUAAAGCGCUAUAGCAACCUUGAAAAUGUCCUAUGCGUGCACUACCCGUCCCUUCCCCGUGGCCCUAGAGGUAUUUUAGGACCUCUACUUUUGGACAGUUCUAGACCUUCCUAAAGUUUUAAAGGAUAAAAGUCUAGGCGUCAAUCAAGAACAAUUAGGACUGCAUUUAAAAAAGGACAGAUUACAGGCUCACAGUCACCUCCACAAAUAUAACAAGUAAAUGCACGUCUUCAAACAAUAGUCAGAUAUUUAAGAGAAAAUCCUAGAACAUAGUAUCUAGGUGAGCAAGAAUUAUACAGUGUUGAAUUAGGACAAAGUGUCAAAAACCUAUUUAGCUUGCCUACUGAUUUAGACCUAUUAAAUCUGAAUAGUUUUAAAUAACAAAGCACAAUUUCAGAGUUGUAGAAUUUAAAUCGCACUAGAGGCUUGCCUAAACGCAUAAUAGUGGUGUCCUAAGAGCAUGAUAUCUACAUUGAUUAGGAGUGUAGUAAAACAUUGAACUGUUUUUAAAACGGACAACUUGAGAUCCUAAAGACAUGCUUUCUAACAGUAUUAACUUAAGGCAGUAUUUGAAAACUUGCUGAGAAUCGGACAAAUUAUAACUAAUUCAAACAUGAAUUAACUGAUUUUAAGUUCUAUAGGCAUGAUUUAUAUUAGAGCUGAUUUUAAUUCCUAUAGGCAUGGUAUCUAGUUGUUAAAGCCGACUCUUUGAACUUAUGGGCAUGAUAUCUAAGAAGAAGAAUGUGAAUACAUGCUAUAACAAAACUGAACUUCAAUUACUUUAAACCUAUAUGCAUGAUAUCUAAAUAUUAAAUCCAUUUGGACCCUAUAAGCAUUGCUUCUAAUACUGUGAAAGUAUAGCAAAUAGAGCAAAUGCAUUUAAUUAACACAACCCUAUAGGCAUGGUAUCUACCCGAUUUACCCAACAUAUAUAUAACUACCCGCCCCUUUUUAACUAAUCACCCAAUGUUAUUUACAAAUAAUUAUUAUAGAACAGCUAAAUAAAUUACAUAAACAAAUAAAGAAAAAGAAGAAGUUAACUAUAGGGAGCCAGUAACAGGCCCAAUUCCAAGCCUCCAACAGCCUCAAAAUGCCAAAGUUCCAUAGACAGUAUCAUGUCUAGGUAUGUCAGAGUUCCCUAAGGACCUCAAGGAUCCCGGGCAGUGCUCAUACCUAGACCUUUUCUCAACAAUAACUGAUUUAGGUGUUGUGUGGAAAGGCUAGAUCUGACAUGCCAUAGUUUAGAGAGAUCCCAAGGAUCUCAAGGCAGUACACAUAUCAGAGGGGCAGAACCGAAUAUCCUAAGAGUAAAGUGAGAGUGCUUGACAUAGUUUUGUUUUGAAAAUAGUAUAGGGAUGGUCAGAAGUAGAAAAAGUUUUUCAGAAACAGGAAAUAACUUAGUGGUAAAAGACAGUUUGAGAAGAGUACCACAACAGCAGACAAUCAGUUGGUCAUAAAAGACAUCUAGAUUCAGAAAAGGAACACUUAACAAACAGAUCUCACAUAGGAAUUGUGGCACAUAAGAAUCACAUUAUGGUACAUGGAUAGGGAGAGAGGAAACAUAUAGUCACAAACUGCAUACAAUACUUAGGAUCUUAGAGACUCAGUAAAUAGUUAGGACAUAGAUAAUGUCACACCUCCUUUUUACCUACACCCUCGUAAAGGGUAUAUAAGGGAGUUUUUUCCAACUUAAAGUGACAAUCGAAAUAUGAUUAUUUUAUUCAAAAUUCAGAGUCGCCACUUGGGAUAAUUUAUGGUGUCCCAAGUCACCGGUUCAAAUCCUGAAUCGAGAAAAAGAUUGACUCUAUUUUACCGUCCGCGAACAGAGAAAUUCGGGUAAGGAAUUCUGUUAAUCCGGGAGAAGGUGUUAGGCAUUCCCGGAUUCCGUGGUUCUAGCACGGUCGCUCUACUGUUAUAAUUGGCCUAUUAUCUAAUUUUAAUACAUGCUUUAGCCUAUUGUGCAAUUUUAAACUUUAUAACCGCUUUUAUUUAAUUUUAAGAAAAAAUUGCAACAUCAUUUAAAACAUGUCUUGAAUUGUGUCAUAUAAAUGCACACGCGGAUCUCGACAUAUUCUAUCUAACAUUGUUGAGAUUUGGAUUUGGGUCACAUAAAUGCGCACCCGAAUUUAGGAAGGUAAAUUAUUAAAAUAACGUGCCUAAAGCAACUAUGCGAUUACAACUUUGAGGGCCACAGAAAAUUCGUUAAAUGGCGCGCCUCGAUUUCUAAGGGUUUAAAAGAAAUAAUUCAAUGAGGGCCAUGCAAUUCAAGAUUUUUUUUGGCAUGGUAAACCUCGAUUUCCAAUUUUAAAAGAAAAUUUUAGCUAAGCUUGCGAGGGCCAUAAAUUAUACAUUCCGCUAAUAUGGCACACCUCAACUAAUUGAUUAUUCCCAUUGGGAAGAUGUAGAGUUAUGGCUUAAUCCAAUUAUGAAAUUAAUCAAAUCCUGAAAUUUAAUCUAAGACCUAAUUAUAAUCAUAUGGUGAGGCAGUUGAAUAAUUGAUUACCCAAAUCGGAAAUAAGUUAAGCGACAGUUAAAUGGAAUACACAGAAGGUGCACAGUACUGGGCUCGAAAGUAAGCCCAUUCCUCAAAUGAGGAUCAAUCACACGCCAAUGAGAAGGGAGGUUGUCCCUUUUGGCCUAACAUCGAGCCCCAAACAUGGCAAACAUACAUAAGCGAUUAAAUUUUAGAUUUUACUAAUCGGCUAAUGGACAUCAAUUGAACAUAGAACCCAUACAUGAAUGCAUCAUUGAGACUGUCGAUUUAACAGAAGACUAUACAAGAUCUAUUUAAAUUAAACCUAUAUGUAUAACAUUGGAAUUGAAACCAAAAAAUUAUUUUCACAAAGGCAUUCUACUGGAAACCAAAAGAUUCGAACAUCAGCUUGAUUUAACAAAACCCAACACCUCUAUCAUUCAGGAUUCCCAUAUUAUACUAACCUCCACAUAUAUUUAACCCAAAACCUUGGUUCAUUUGAAGAAAACAACCAACUAGUAAAUGCAAUGAGCAAAUUACCAUAUGGAUUCAGCAUCCCUUACCAGAAGUGCCAAAAAAACUUCAUGCAAAUAGAUUAUUAAGAUCCAAACCCCUAGCAUGCUCAACUCUGAUUAUAUUAACUUCGCAAUUAACAAAAUGCUCAUGUAAUCUGAACUCACACACAUAUUAUGGAUCUAAAAAUUAAUUGACACUUCUAUCAAUAACAAACCUAGAGAUUUAAACAAAUGGAAAUCAGUAACUACUAAACAAUAACCCCAUUACAGUUUCAAUAUAAGACUCAAGGUUCGAAGCACAACCUCACUUUAAACAUGCUAAAAUAAAAAAAUUGACACAACAAGCUGAGAAAAAAAAAUAAAGAAAAGGAACAUCUGAUAAAGGAAAACAUAAAUCUUCAUCUUUUUCACAAUACUUCAUGAACCAUUUUUUUUACAUGCUUAAGAUCAGGGAUAUGUACCUGGAAAAAGAGAAAUAGAAACAAAAGAGUGGGGAAUCAGCCAAGCAGCAACAGAGCAGAACCCCAACAAUAGUAAAAUACCCAGCAAAAUUGAUUUCAGACCAAGAAAGAUGAUGUACAGCAGCCCACAACCAGUUUCAAUCGAACAGUAGCUCAGUAAACUUCAAAUCAAACUUUUACAAACCAAGAUUCAACCCAUUUCAAACCCAG
rnacentral:lncRNA from 1 species